AUUGAACGCUGGCGGCAGGCCUAACACAUGCAAGUCGAGCGAGCGGCGGACGGGUGAGUAAUAUCUGGGAGACUGCAUGAUGGGGGGGGAUACCUACAGGAACCGGUAGCUAAUACCACAUAUCAUCAGAUGUGCGCAGAUGGGAUUAGCUAGUAGUUGGGGUAACGGCUCACACAGGCGACGAUCCCUAGCUGGUCUGAGAGGAUGACCAGCCACACUGGAACUGAGACACGGCCCAGACUCCUACGGGAGGCAGCAGUGGGGAAGAUUGCACAAUGGGCGCAAGCCUGAUGCAGCCAUGCCGCGUGUGUGAAGAAGGCCUUCGGGUUGUAAAGCACUUUCAGCGGGGAGGCGUUACCCGCAGAAGAAGCACCGGCUAACUCCGUGCCAGCAGCCGCGGUAAUAC
rnacentral:rRNA from 1 species